rnacentral:rRNA from 1 species
UGAGUGCGAGCUGCUACGGCAGCGAAGUUGGUGAUGUCAUGCUUCCAAGAAAAGCCCUAUACCCGUUAAGGCAUCAUGGCCUGUACCCGAAACCGACACAGGUGGGGUGGUAGAGAAUACCGAGGGGCGCGAGGUAACUCUCUCUAAGGAACUCGGCAAAAUGGCCCCGUAACUUCGGGAGAAGGGGUGCCACCGCAAGGUGGUCGCAGUGAAGAGGCCCAGGCGACUGUUUACCAAAAACACAGGUCUCCGCUAAGUCGCAAGACGAUGUAUGGGGGCUGACGCCUGCCCAGUGCCGGAAGGUUAAGGAAGCUGGUCAGCGCAAGCGAAGCUAGCGACUGAAGCCCCGGUGAACGGCGGCCGUAACUAUAACGGUCCUAAGGUAGCGAAAUUCCUUGUCGGGUAAGUUCCGACCCGCACGAAAGGCGUAACGAUCUGGGCGCUGUCUCGGAGAGAGGCUCGGCGAAAUAGAAUUGUCUGUGAAGAUGCGGACUACGUGCACCCGGACAGAAAGACCCUAUGAAGCUUUACUGUAGCUUGGUAUUGUGCCCGGGCUCGCAAUGCGCAGGAUAGGUGGGAGGCUUUGAUCAUCGGCUUGCGGGUCGAUGUGAGCCAACGGUGAGAUACCACUCUUUGCGAGCUAGGGUUCUAACGGCCACCCGUCAUCCGGGGGCCGGACAGUACCUGGUGGGCAGUUUGACUGGGGCGGUCGCCUCCUAAAAGGUAACGGAGGCGCGCAAAGGUUUGCUCAGGCUGGUUGGAAAUCAGCCGACGAGUGUAAAAGCAGAAGCAAGCUUGACUGUGAGACCAACAAGUCGAACAGGGAGGAAACUCGGCUUUAGUGAUCCGACGGUUCUGAGUGGAAGGGCCGUCGCUCAACGGAUAAAAGUUACUCUAGGAUAACUGGCUGAUCUCCCCCAAGAGUUCACAUCGACGGGGAGGUUUGGCACCUCGAUGUCGGCUCAUCGCAACCUGGGGCUGAAGUCGGUCCCAAGGGUUGGGCUGUUCGCUCAUUAAAGCGGUACGCGAGCUGGGUUCAGAACGUCGUGAGACAGUUCGGUCCAUAUCCGGUGCACGCGCAGGAAUAUUGAGAGGAUUUCUCCCUAGUACGAGAGGACCGGGAGGAACGCACCUCUGGUGUACCAGUUAUCGUGCCAACGGUAAACGCUGGGUAGCCAUGUGCGGAGUGGAUAACCGCUGAAAGCAUCUAAGUGGGAAGCCCACCUCAAGAUGAGUAUUCCCAUGGCGUAAGCCAGUAAGGUCACGGGAAGAACACCCGUUGAUAGGCUCUAUGUGGAAGCGCAGUAAUGCGUGAAGCAGAGGAGUACUAAUAGACCGAGGGCUUGACCG